AGAUAUUUCAAAAUGAAUUUUUCAAUUUCUAUGAAUUUUCAAUCUGGAAAAUUGCUUGGCAGUACAGAUAAUGGUGCGCAAGAGUUUAUUAACUUGACAAAUUAAUAGCCCUGAUUUUUCAUAGCCAUAUACGCACGGCUUUCUACGCAGCAGCUUUCUAUGAUUGGCCGUUUAACUGUCCUAUGGGCAAAGUAAACCAAAUUUCAAAGCAGUAUCCCUUCGUAUGAUUGGACAAUGGCUACCACUAAGAAAGGGACCUUGUUAUAAAAGCCUACAUCGGGAGCUAUUCAGUCUUUCUCAUAGAAAUCGUGGUUAGGUGUAAUAUAGCUUGCGAUUUGUCCAAGCGAUCAGUGUGCAUGAAUACGGAGUAAUGGCUAAUUCUUUCAACAUAGUUUAUGUCGGACGCAGCUCGUUCAGUAUUGCCAAAAAAGAGCACUGCCGUUGUGUAGUUUUCCGAAAUGGUUGCGGUUGAAGUUUUUGUAGAAGUUUAAGCUUACUCGGCAGAAACUGUGGAUCCUUUUUCAAGAAUAUGAAACUACUGAUCAAUUCGUCUUGCGUAGGCUUUCUGUUUGGUCAUCAGUUGUAAUUCCAUAAUCGUGGUCUAACAGUAUGCACUUACACGUGGGCGCCACGUGGCCUUGAACUGAUUCUGCGUCAGUUGAAUUUAUUGGUUACGCUUAACAUCCUUGAAUAAGUUGCUAGAUCAAGAUUAGUUAGCUGUAAAUUAAACAGCUAGGUUGUGACCGAGAAAUCCAAGUUUCGGGAUGUGGAUUCCGUGCGGACUUCAGCGCCCGACAGCCGCUUGCCCGGGUUAAACUGUUUUGCGGUAUGACCCUUUCACCAUCCGAGGCUGGGUGCUGGCGGUCCAGGGCUGUGGUGGAGCUGAAGGUUUUUUUUUCCCCGCGAGUCAAGCCAUAAACAACGUGUCCGGGUGUGGCGCACGAGAGGCUUUGGAUCCCUGGAAGACCCUGUACUGGUCAUGUGGCGCCUCCCGUGCUGUGCAUGUCAACGAGCUGCAUUUCCACUUUGAAAAGGCUGAUGGCGCCGUUUGCUCAUCCGUAAAAUGUUUGCAUUACGUCUCCCAUUCUGUGGUGUUGCCCGAAGAGGUAAUAAAUUAUAAUAAAGUUCUUUUGGGGCAUUUGCCCAAAUUCA